rnacentral:lncRNA from 13 species
CUCUCUCUCUCUCUCUCUCUCUCUCUCUCUCUCUCUCUCUCUCUCUCUCUCUCUCUCUUUCUCUCAUUCUUUCUCUCUCUUUCGCACUCUCUCAUUCUCCCUCUCUUAUUCUCUUGCUCUCUGUUUUCUUCUUCUCUCUCUUUCUCUUUCUCUCUCUCUCUUUCUCACUCUCUUUAUCUCACCAUCUCUUAUUUUCUUACUCUCUCACUCUGUUUUCUUCUCCUCUUUCUCUCUCUCUCUUUCUCCCCCUUCUUUCUCUUUUAUGAAAUUAGUUGUAGUUUGAUUGUUCUGAUGCUCAAUUUUGUCUGGAAAAUGUACAUGGAAUGACGGAAGAAAAUGUCACAGAUACAGCUAUUGAAGAGAGACCUGUAAUAGCCAAGGGCAUACUAAAGGCUCCAAGUGUAGUUGGAUGAGCCAUCAAGAAGAUGCCUGAGCUCUAUACAUUCCUUAUGGAGCGAUGGGCAUUGUAUCACAACCUGGAAUAUGAUUCAGGAGAGGAGAAGAAUCCACGUCUGAUCUUCUAUGAUGAUAAGGAUGAGGUUGUUCAGGUUAGAUAUGGAUUCCCAUUCAAGGUGUUACAUGUCAUCUACUGUACGUGUCAGACAAAGAUUAUCAGCAAAAUGCUUGGGGAAAUAACAUCUAUUUUCCUGAGCUUGACUCAAGCCUGGCAAGAUUAGGGAGGGAUAAAUAACUAAUUAAAGAAGGCAUUAUGCAAGGAAAAAACAAGAGCAUAUCAGUGUAGUCUGAAACAGUUCAAGAGAAUGUGAUGUUAAUAAAUCCUCUGUGUCUUUUGUGAA